rnacentral:rRNA from 1 species
GAUGAACGCUGGCGGCGUGCCUAAUACAUGCAAGUCGAGCGAACGGACGAGAAGCUUGCUUCUCUGAUGUUAGCGGCGGACGGGUGAGUAACACGUGGAUAACCUACCUAUAAGACUGGGAUAACUUCGGGAAACCGGAGCUAAUACCGGAUGAUAUUUUGAACCGCAUGGUUCAAAAGUGAAAGACGGUCUUGCUGUCACUUAUAGAUGGAUCCGCGCUGCAUUAGCUAGUUGGUAAGGUAACGGCUUACCAAGGCAACGAUGCAUAGCCGACCUGAGAGGGUGAUCGGCCACACUGGAACUGAGACACGGUCCAGACUCCUACGGGAGGCAGCAGUAGGGAAUCUUCCGCAAUGGGCGAAAGCCUGACGGAGCAACGCCGCGUGAGUGACGAAAGUCUUUCGAUCGUAAAACUCUGGUAUUAAGGGAGAACAUAUGUGUUAGUUACUGUGCACCUCCUGAACGGACCUUAUUCAAAAAGCACCGCUUACUACGUGCCCGCAGCCGCCGUUAUACCUAAGUGGGCAGCGUUAUCCGGAAUUAUUGGGCGUAAAGCGCGCGUAGGCGGUUUUUUAGUCUGAUGUGAAAGCCCACGGCUCAACCGUGGAGGGUCAUUGGAAACUGGAAAACUUGAGUGCAGAAGAGGAAAGUGGAAUUCCAUGUGUAGCGGUGAAAUGCGCAGAGAUAUGGAGGAACACCAGUGGCGAAGGCGACUUUCUGGUCUGUAACUGACGCUGAUGUGCGAAAGCGUGGGGAUCAAACAGGAUUAGAUACCCUGGUAGUCCACGCCGUAAACGAUGAGUGCUAAGUGUUAGGGGGUUUCCGCCCCUUAGUGCUGCAGCUAACGCAUUAAGCACUCCGCCUGGGGAGUACGACCGCAAGGUUGAAACUCAAAGGAAUUGACGGGGACCCGCACAAGCGGUGGAGCAUGUGGUUUAAUUCGAAGCAACGCGAAGAACCUUACCAAAUCUUGACAUCCUUUGACAACUCUAGAGAUAGAGCCUUCCCCUUUCGGGGGGGACAAAGUGACAGGUGGUGCAUGGUUGUCGUCAGCUCGUGUCGUGAGAUGUUGGGUUAAGUCCCGCAACGAGCGCAACCCUUAAGCUUAGUUGCCAUCAUUAAGUUGGGCACUCUAAGUUGACUGCCGGUGACAAACCGGGGGAAGGUGGGGAUGACGUCAAAUCAUCAUGCCCCUUAUGAUUUGGGCUACACACGUGCUACAAUGGACAAUACAAAGGGCAGCGAAACCGCGAGGUCAAGCAAAUCCCAUAAAGUUGUUCUCAGUUCGGAUUGUAGUCUGCAACUCGACUACAUGAAGCUGGAAUCGCUAGUAAUCGUAGAUCAGCAUGCUACGGUGAAUACGUUCCCGGGUCU